UCGCUUUGAUAGCACCUAUUCUAAAAUUGGACCAAUACAGAGAAGAUUAGCAUGGCCUCUCCCAAGAAUGACCCAUGAAUUCGUAUAGCAUUCCAUAACUUA